rnacentral:rRNA from 1 species
GCGGAGGAAAAGAAACUAACAAGGAUUCCCCUAGUAACUGCGAGUGAAGCGGGAAAAGCUCAAAUUUAAAAUCUGGUGGUCUUUGGCCAUCCGAGU